rnacentral:lncRNA from 1 species
UCUGUUCCAAGCUCAGCUUUCAUGGGGAACAGCUUGAAGAAAGUGAGCGCUAGGUUCAACAACAACGGCAAGGCUCCAGCGGGAAGUUUCAAGAUUGUGGCUGCCAAAGAAAUCGACGAAGACACGGAGACCGACCAGGACCGAUGGAAGGGUCUUGCUUAUGAUAUCUCCGAUGACCAACAAGACAUUACCAGAGGGAAAGGUAUGGUCGACUCAUUGUUCCAAGCUCCCAUGAACGAUGGUACUCACUAUGCUGUCAUGAGCUCCUAUGAAUACCUUAGCCAAGGCCUUCGCACGUAAGUACAUAUACAUAUACAUCAUAUAUACGCAUUUCGAUUUUUUGUUCAACCCUAAAUUAUAAAUGGUUUGGAUGAUAUAGAUACGACUUGGACAACAACAUGGAUGGAUUCUACAUUGCCCCAGCUUUCAUGGACAAGCUUGUUGUUCACAUCACCAAGAACUUCAUGACCCUUCCUAACAUUAAGGUCUGUAUGUCACCUAUAACAUAUCUAGUGAAAUCUUUUUUUUUUUAAUAAAAUAGCAUUAAAUUUACCAAAUUUUACUACAAUUGUUUCUAUUACAGGUUCCUCUUAUCUUGGGUGUUUGGGGAGGCAAAGGUCAAGGAAAAUCUUUCCAAUGUGAGCUUGUCUUUGCCAAGAUGGGAAUCAAGUGAGUUCAUGUUUUUUUAGAUGCAAAUUCAAGGUCUUGAGUAUAUGGCGACGGGUGAAGUCAAAAAAUUUUGUGGGCUAUAGUUAAACUAUAAAUUUGAUGAAAUUUUAUUAUUGUAUUAACUUAAAAAUUUACUAGUUUUAAAAGGUUAAAUUAUAAAUUUUCUAUUUUUAGAAGGUUUAUAAUUUAAUUAUAAUUUUUUAGAAGCAAAAUGCAAUUAUUCUUUUGUGUUAACUUAAAAUUUUACAAUCGCUAGAUGAGCUAAACAAAAAUUUACCUUAGCUAAAAUAUUAAAUGUCAAUAACUUUAAUGAUUAAAAUGGAUAAAAGGUAUAAAAUUGAGGGUUAAUUUGGUUGGUUUUUUAAAAUUAGAGUCAAAAUUAAUGAAAUGUGUAAAUAAUUAGGGUCUAUUGUGCAAAUAGAAACAUGCUAAUGAAUUAAUAUAAUGAAUUAACAUCACAGCCCCAUUAUGAUGAGUGCCGGAGAAUUGGAAAGUGGGAACGCCGGAGAACCAGCCAAGUUGAUCAGGCAAAGGUACCGUGAGGCCGCCGACAUUAUCAAGAAAGGGAAAAUGUGUUGCCUCUUCAUCAACGAUCUCGACGCUGGAGCCGGUCGUAUGGGAGGAACCACACAAUACACAGUGAACAACCAAAUGGUGAACGCCACACUCAUGAACAUCGCUGAUAACCCCACCAACGUUCAGCUCCCCGGUAUGUACAACAAGGAAGAGAACCCUCGUGUUCCGAUCAUCGUCACCGGUAACGAUUUCUCGACGCUGUACGCGCCUCUCAUCCGUGACGGUCGUAUGGAGAAGUUUUACUGGGCACCCACCAGGGAAGAUAGGAUCGGUGUUUGCACAGGUAUUUUCAGGACCGACAAUGUUCCCGUUGAUGACCUUGUUAAGCUUGUUGACACCUUCCCGGGCCAAUCCAUUGGUAAGCUUCUCUUUCAACACUUUUUCAAUUCGUGGUCUCUAUACAAAGGUCUAAUUUUUGUUUUAGUCCCUCCACAAUGCUAAAAUUCAAAAGUUAAUCCUUCUAAUCUGGUGUGCUCGCAAGUUAUUCAAGUUUGACUUAAAAAUUCGAAUCUGAUUCAAUCAUUCUCGAGCAACUCAAGCUAUUGAGUAAGUCGAAUUCAAGUAUUUUAGUACUUGAGCCUAAUUUGUAUAUUUUAUGAAUUUAUUUUUAAUACUUUGAUGAUAAAUUACUAGUUCAUCUAAAAAAAUGGGUAUAUAGAACAAGGUCAAGCUUAAACUCGAGUUUGGCUAUACAAUUGUGUGUGAAUGAGCUUAAUUGACCUCAAGCUUAUAUAGUAGUAUUUGAUUUAGCUUGAGCUAAGUUUCAAGCAGUGAGUUCUAAAUUAAAUUUGAGCUUGAACUUCUCAGUAUAUGAGCUCAACUCAACUCGAUUACAAUCCUAUUAAUAGGUCCAAAUUGAUAGCAUCAUAUUCAAUCUACAAUAAAUUUACAUGUCAGCCAAAUCUUUAAGUCUAUUUAGAUAUUCUGAUAACAUUAUAAAAGUAGAGGUAUCGAAUUUUGUCAGAUUAAAUUAACCAUAAUUAAAUCCCAUAGGAAUUAUCAUUAACGGUGUAUUUGCAUGUGUGUGGUUCAAUUUGUAGACUUUUUCGGUGCUCUGAGGGCCAGAGUUUACGAUGACGAAGUGAGGAAAUGGAUCGGAGAGGUCGGAGUCAAUGGUGUCGGGAAAAAGCUCGUGAACUCGAGGGAAGGGCCACCAUCUUUCGAGCAACCGAAGAUGACCAUUGAGAAGCUGUUGGAAUAUGGAUACAUGCUUGUUGCUGAGCAAGAGAAUGUGAAGAGGGUUCAAUUGGCUGACAAAUAUUUGAGUGAAGCUGCCCUUGGAAAUGCUAAUGACGAUGCUAUCAAGAGAGGAGCUUUCUAAAUGGGAAAUUAAGCUCUAAGGGAAGAAAAAAAUCUAUAUUGGGCACAAACAAAGGAAAUCCCCCCUUUGUGUCUUAAUUGAAUGUUGUUUUCCUUUUGUGUUUUAAGUGGAUUUGCAUCCUCUAUUUUUGUGUUAUAAAAUCUCCACUUUGUUCUUGUCUUAAAUGUUUCACUUUAUUUGUUCCAAUCAACUUUUUUUUUUUACAUGAUUAGUUUUGAAUAAAAAAUUUCCUGUUAAAAGAUUGUGUUAUUUGAUAAAAAAAAUUGAAUUUUUUUAUAGGAAAAAUAAUUUUUUUUGGUUUCCAUUUCACGAAAAAAAAUUAUUUUAAUUUUUUAUUUAACUUUUUGCCUCUUUUUAUCUCUUGAACUUAUAUUUUUUUGUCAAAUCACCCAGAAAUUGAUAGAAAAGUUAAUGUUUGUUAACUUUGCUAACGUAGCAUACACGUAGAAUGUCACGGAGAUGACAUGUCAAUAUUUAAUUAAUUUUUUAAAAUUUUAAAAAUUAAUUAAAUGUUGAUGUGGCAUACACAUGGUAAGUUAACCAACUUUAAUUUCCAUCUAUUUUGAAGUGAUUUAAUAAAAAACGUAAGUUUAAGGGUUAAAAAAAGAUGAAAAAAAAUAAAUGGAGGGCUAACAUAACCAAAUAAGUCAUUAUGCCAUAAAAAUAUUAUGCGAAAACUGGAAUUGAGAGAAAAAAAGUUAGACCUAUUAUGUGAAAUAUUGUUUACUUCGUAUUUAUAUAUUAUGUCAUUUAAAUCACAUGAAAAUAAAUUUAUAAUAAUGUAUCGGAAAAAUUAAAAAAUUAUUUAAAAUUUUAAUAAAAAAUACUAAAUUAUUAAAUACUAAACUAAAAAUAGUAUAAAAAAUUUUUUUUAAAAAAAUGAAUGUAUUUAAAACAAGCUAAAGUUAAUUAUCUAAAAAAGCUUAAGUAGGUUAAAAUAAUGACACUAUUUUAUUUUAUAUACUUUACAAGCAAAAUCGAGAAGUUAAUUUUAAGGUAUAGUGAAAAAUUAAAUAUGUAAAAAAUAGAUAAUGAACUAUAAAGUGAGAUUACGUCCUUAAAUUAUCAAUGUUAUAUUAAUAAUGUCUAAGAAAAAUAGAUGUUGUAAAAAUUUAGUUUUAAGAUUUUCGGAGCUUUUAUGAAAGCUAUCGGCCACUCUUUUCUAUUCAAUUUUAUUUUUUUCAGUUUUUAAUUUUAAAAUUCAUGUCUCAAAAUUUAACUUUUCUUUAAACUUUAAUUUUAAAUUAUGCCAUUUUACAUGUAAUUUGAUUGUUAAAUUAACAGUUUCAAUAAUAAAUGGACCUUAUUGAUAUAGCAUCGAUAGUUUAGGGAUGUAAUUAAAAUGUUUUAAAGUUUGGGGAUUAAUUUAGAAUAAAUAUUGUAAUUUGAGGAUGUCUAGUGAAUUAACUCAAAAAUUAUUUUAAAUUAAAUUUAAAUAAAUAUUUUAUUAAUAAAAUAGAAUUCAAAUUAGUCAAAAUUUAGCCUUUUUGCUUCCUUUGGACUUAGAGAUAUAUAAUGGGCUAUUAUUGGCCCAUUUAGAAACCCUUGGGCUUUAGAGAGGAUAAUUUGUUUUAUUAUUGAAGCCCAAAAUAGUAUUUGUCCAUAAAUUUAGAAAUUUACAAAAAAAUACAUACAUAUUUUAAUUAAUUUUAAAAAUGUAAAUCCAACUGCAAACACAAUUAUUAUAUUUUUUAAAUUCAUUUUACAUUAUAAGUAUUAUAUUUUACUUGCAAUUAAUUUUUAAUUUCACAAAUAAAAUUAAAAAAAAUCCUUUUAAUAAAUUUUUAUUGUAUAAAAGAUAAAUGAGAAAGGGACUCGAUUCAUCUAGUAUACAAUGGUGAUGUGCAUGCUUGCAUCAUUGGCAUGACAUCACAUUAAGCAACCUCAUAUGAGGACUUAAUUGAAUAUAAAAUAUAAAUGGAAUAUUAUUAUUUAAAUUUGAAUUAAUUAAGUUAUUUGUUCAAUGCUUAAAAGUUUAUUACAAAAAGUCGAUUACGUUUUAACUGAAUUGGCAUGAGCAUUAUUGUUAAUAUAAGAGGACAUGGGUUUGAAUGCGUUGAAUCGUAUUAUCCUCCUAUUUAUAGGUUGGGGAGGGGCUAUAGAUAGUUCUAAGUAUUUAGUAAAAAAAUAAAUAUAAUCAGAACUUAUAAUAAGAUUACUGCAAAAUUGCAUUUAGUAAAUCUCAAAAUAUAUUUAAUUAUUUAAACCUUAAUUUAUUAUAAAUAAAAACAAAGUGAAUGAAUAUCCAAAUAUACGAAAAUUACACACCCAUCACAUCCCUACUAUAAAAAGAGAAAGUGAUGGCUUACCAAACGAUACGUGCAAUUAGGCUUACGAGUUUUGGUAAAAUUUUGCUUUAGGUCCCGAAAAGAAAUUGAUUUUUAUGGUUUGCAAAAUAAAAUCAUCAUUUCUUUCCAAGAAAGUCCUCUAUGGACUAUAUUAGAAGAGAGUGUCAUUUUGACACUUAACCUUAAAAGUUUUGUCGAAUUGCUUUUUGUUAGAUUAAAAAAAUUGAAUGAAUUGGUAAAAUGUUAACGUUAUUGAUAUGGCAGCUCGUGUGACAAUUCACACGUACUUUAUUGUUGACAUUGAUAAUUUUUUUAAAUUUUUUUAUGAUUUUUUAUGAAGUACAUGCCUAAUGAUGGUGGCCUUGCCCCCUUAAAAAGGAAAAGUUUUGUUUAAGUCCCUUUAAAACCAUAAAAUUGUAAUUUAAUAUCUUUUAGAAAUUAUAAAGUUAAAAACUUCCAAUGAAAAAAUUGCAAUUUCACUCUCAGUAAAUUUAUAAUUUAAUUUUGGCCACUCCAAAAAAUUUCCUAGCUUCGCCCCUUAUAUAGGGGUGAGUAAAAUCCAAUUUGAUUUUAAAAACUCGAUAAAAUAUUAAAAUUUUGAAUUAAAUAGUUCGAGUUAAUAGAGUUAUUUGGAUCAACUUGAAUAAAAAAUCAAAAUUUUCAAUUUAAAUCAAAUAUGAAUUGCACAAUUUGAGUUAUCCGAAAAUUCGAAUAAAAAAAGGCAAAACUAUUUCUAAAGUUAAAAGUCAAAACUGUGCCGUUUUAAUAAAUAUUUACCCGUUAAGUUAAAAGAUAAAACCAUUAUAUUAUUUAUUUAAUUAAAUAAUCUCGUAUUUUAUCUACUGAUUAAAUAAUAAAUUUAUGUAAACCUAAUAGUGAGUUAAAUAAUGGUUGGAUGGACGGUUAUGGAAAGACACUCAGCUUACAGUCAACUGAAAUAACAUGGAAUCUGCAGGCGGCGUGGUCCACGUUUAAAAUAACAUGGGGCCAGCACGCGGCAUGGGAUCAAAACAUGUAGACCCCACGUGGAUACAUUUUUUCUCUCGCUCUCGCUUUCUAUACUGUGCCCUACAGGAUCAUGAAUCUUCAUGCUACUUCUUCAUACAGUCUUUUAAUCAACCCAGGUGUCACAAGCUGGGUUGAUCUGUGGUGGACGGCAGAAAGUGGCUUGGGUUAAUGGUCCACCUCAAUUACACGUUUACCACAAAAAAGAGAAAAAGUACUAAGAAAAAAGAAAACCAUAAUGAAAUAUAAAUUUCUUUUAAUGCUUAAUCUCAAGAUCCGCCAUUAACGAUAAAUUAUGUUUUAGUUGAAAUGAUGAAAUAGAAAUAUACGGGUUUUUUUUGAUUUUAUAAAUAAUAUAAACAGAUUAAAAUAUACUUAUAAUAAUAUAAAUUAUUUUGUAAAAAUAUCUUUUUUUUAAGGUUUGUACUUGUCGUUUUUAAUAAUGUUGUCUCUAAAGUUUAAAUUUAUAUUUUCUCUUUGUGAGUGCAAUGUGUCUUACCGUAAUAUUUUUACUUGAAUUCGUAUUCGAUUAACUCAUUACACCAAUUUAAUUAAAAUUUGUAUUAUGGUAGACAUAAUAAUAACAUUAGAAGAAAGUUUUCAAAAGUUUUUAGCUACGAAUGUUUCAAAUAUAAAUUAUUACAAUUUAAAUGAUAGGAGAAGAACUAAAUAAAUGUAGUAUAAUCGUGUUAAAUAGAGACGAACUUAAAAAAUUAUUUUAAGAGGAUCGUAGAUGGAUCAUAAAUUAUUAUGGGUAAGGUAUAAUUUUAUCAUUAUAAAAAUAUAUAAGUGCAUGGGUUCUUUUUACAUGUUUAUUAAUUUUUUUUUGAAUAAUCUCAUUUUAGGUUCUGAUCAUAUAUGUUCCUUUUGACACAAUACUUAAAACUACCUAUAGUCUCCCCAACCCAUAAAUAAGAGGAUAAUACGUUUCAGCUCACUAAAACCCACAUCCUCCUGCAUCGGUACAAUCGAGUUAAAACACAAUCGGCAUAUGUAUAUUAAAUUUAAGUGAAGUGAUAUGGUUUAAUCUAAUCUAGAGUUUGUCUUUUGGACAAAUUUUUAAUAAUGAUGAUUUAACUUUUUGUGUGUGUGUUUAAUUUGAUUAAAUUAUUAAGUAACAUGGAUAUUUAAUUUAAUAAAUAAUUCCCAAAAGUUUGGUGAAGUAGCCACUAACAUGAUAGUAGAAGAAAGUGUAUUUUCUAAUACAACGUGUGUUUAUUUGACAUUUGGUGUUUGUAUUCAUUCCAUUGAUUAAAUUAAUACUUAAAACUUUAAAUAUAAAAUCCAUAAAAUGGUCAGACCAUGCAGGUAAUGGUUAAAAUAAUAGGGCAUUAGAUUAUGUUAUUUAAUUUUUACCUAAAAUUAUAUUGUUUUUCAUGCUUUGGUCAACAUUUGAUUUUUUUUAUAUUAGUAGUUUAUAUAUCUUAAUUUAAUAGGCAAUGUUAAAAAUUAUCAAAUAUCUCGUUUUUUAUUAAAUUAUUUUUUAAUAAAUUUUUUUGCAUAAGCUCGGAACGAACGGAGAUAGAAUCAGACUGAUUCCCUAAGUGCUUUUUUGGACGUUCUUCAAUGUCCUGGCUAUUCACGGAAUGUGGGAAAUGGAUGAAUAAUCAUCUGCUUCCGGAAGAAAUUGAAGGAUUUCUUGGGAAUCCUACAAGAUCCAUUCGUUCUUUUUUUCUCUAAUAGAUGGUCAGAACUUCAUCUGGGUUCGAAUCCUACUGAGAGGUCCACUAGAAAUCAGAAAUUGUUGAAGAAAGAAUAAGAUGUUUCUCUUGUCCCUUCUAGGCGAUCAAAAAAUAAAGAAAUAGUUGAUAUGGUUCCGAAAGAUGAACUGGGCAGUUCCAAUAAGAUUUCAUUCUUGAACAAAAAUGGAACCAAACUGGAUCUAGUGUAUUUUAAGGGAUUUGCCUUUUCUAUUGAUUCCUACGGAUUGAAUUUUUUUUUGAAUAAGCUCAUUAUAAGUUCUGAUCAUAUCUGCCUUUUUGAUACAAUGUUUAGAACUACUCAUAGUCCAUCCCCAACCUAUAAAUAGGAGGAUAAUGUGCUUUAGCGCACUCGAACCCAUGUCCUCAUGUAUUGGUAACAAUACCCAUGCCAAUUGAGUUAUAAUUCAAGCGACAUUUUUUAGUAUUUUAUUAAAUAUUUAUUUAUUAAAUUAUUUUUAGUAUUUUAAAAAAUAUAUAUUUUACCUUAAAAAUAAAAAUAAAAUUUUAUAUUUCAAAUUUGCUAUUUGUUAAUAUUAAUAAAGCUUAAAUAUGCAUUUGGUUGGAAAACUUUGAUGAGGAUAGUGGAUGAAAAGUAUGUUUGGGUAUUAAGUUAUGAUAAAAAUAAAUAAAAAUAUAAGAAUCAAAUUGAUAAAAGAAAUCAAGUUCUUAGACUAAAUGCAUAAUUGACCAUAUUAAUAUCUACCUAUUGAAAUUUAAACUUUUAAUGGAGAGGUUAAUUAAAGAAACACCAAUUUAAAAAAAACAAUUAGGGAUUUAGGUUUUUUUUUUCUAAAUUUAAGGAAAUAGGUCAAUUUUGGAGAGAGAAAUAGAAAACACGUCUUGCAAUGCUUCCUGCAAGACAUGUUUUCUGUCUUUUUUAAAAUAUAUAUUUUUGUUGGGUGUUGAAAAUUUUGGGAGAAAAUUUAUUUGUGUUAGUGUUUGAGUUUGACAUUGUGAUAGUUUUAAGGUAUGUUUAAGUUUACGGUGAUGCGAUAGUGCUUGGAGACCCACACAUUUUAUCUGUUAGUGGGGAUAGAAUCAUCACUUUAGAAUCCCAUCGAAUUGCAACUCAGGCUCUUAGUUCACGGUGGUUAUAUGGUCGUGGGUUAAAGUAUAAGUCGGGCCCCCAGUAGAUGGUGGUUAUGUGGUCACGGGUUCAAGUUUUAUAAUACUGAAAGAAAAUACUUUAUAAACCUCAUACAUAA